rnacentral:rRNA from 1 species
CCUACGGGGCGCAGCAGUGGGGAAUAUUGCACAAUGGGGGAAACCCUGAUGCAGCGACGCCGCGUGAGUGAAGAAGUAUUUCGGUACGUAAAGCUCUAUCAGCAGGGAAGAAAAUGACGGUACCUGACUAAGAAGCCCCGGCUAACUACGUGCCAGCAGCCGCGGUAAUACGUAGGGGGCAAGCGUUAUCCGGAUUUACUGGGUGUAAAGGGAGCGUAGACGGCAGCGCAAGUCUGGAGUGAAAUCCCAUGGCUUAACCAUGGAACUGCUUUGGAAACUGUGCAGCUAGAGUGCAGGAGAGGUAAGCGGAAUUCCUAGGGUAGCGGUGAAAUGCGUAGAUAUUAGGAGGAACACCAGUGGCGAAGGCGGCUUACUGGACUGUAACUGACGUUGAGGCUCGAAAGCGUGGGGAGCAAACAGGAUUAGAUACCCGGGUAGUC